GACGAACGCUGGCGGCGUGCCUAAUACAUGCAAGUCGAACGCUGAAGGAGGAGCUUGCUUCUCUGGAUGAGUUGCGAACGGGUGAGUAACGCGUAGGUAACCUGCCUGGUAGCGGGGGAUAACUAUUGGAAACGAUAGCUAAUACCGCAUAACAGUAGAUAUCGCAUGAUAUCUACUUGAAAGGUGCAAUUGCAUCACUACCAGAUGGACCUGCGUUGUAUUAGCUAGUUGGUGAGGUAACGGCUCACCAAGGCGACGAUACAUCGCCGACCGGAGAGGGUGAUCGGCCACACUGGGACUGAGACACGGCCCAGACGCCUACGGGAGGCAGCAGGAGGGAAUCUUCGGCAAUGGACGGAAGUCUGACCGAGCAACGCCGCGUGAGUGAAGAAGGUUUUCGGAUCGUAAAGCUCUGUUGUAAGAGAAGAACGAGUGUGAGAGUGGAAAGUUCACACUGUGACGGUAUCUUACCAGAAAGCGACGGCUAACUACGUG
rnacentral:rRNA from 1 species